ensembl:lncRNA
CCUCCUUCAGGUAUGGCUCCAGCGGCCGCAGGAAAGAGUAGUUGUUUUUGGCCACGCCACUUCUGCCUUUGCAAUGUCUUCAUGGGAAUUGGCAGUUUAUUGUCCUCACCGGAAGCGGCCAGCCACCUCGGUGAGGGACCGCCCCCAUGCACUGCAAUUCCCAGCAUGCUUUUCGAACAAAUCUGAAGGCGGAGCCUAUUGUCACCCUAGCAGCGGAUCCACAUCUCGGGUUGGCUGCCUUUAGUGUGGCUUGGAAUGCGGUAUUCGGUUCAGCCACUCCUGAUGCUGAGCCUAGUCUCGUAUACCGAACACUACAGGAACUGGUUGUGUUCUAGAGAUCUUCCUGCCCCCCACUUCUCAAGUGCUGGGAUUAUAGGUUAAAGAACUUGGACUUCAGAAGAGCCAAAAUCUCCUGUUCUCAUCCCCUUUGGUUAUCUCGCUUCCCACAGACCACCAGGGUCACUAGGAAAUGGAGCUCGCUAAUUUAGGGUCGCUGUGACAUGGGAGAGACAUAGUCCAUGGGAGCUCAUAAUCUAACGAGAGACGGGUUUAUGGCAAACAAUUACAGUGUGGGUGCGGUCACAGAGAUGAGAAUAAAGUGCUUUGAUCACAUGAAGAAGUCAGUGCAGGGGAACGGAGGAUGACGGCACAGAAGGCAAAGCUAACCAAUCAACACGUAUCAACAGACACAUCUGUCUGUGCUGCUCUCAGAGGUGGUCAGAGAACCACCUUCUGGAGGUGCAUUCAUAGCUAAUCAAAGGGCUAAGAAGAAGUAAUCGGGUGUGCUCAGUCAUUCAUGGACCAUCCGGGUCAACCUUCACCUGCUCUGAGGCUCAGGGAGCAUCAAACAAGUGAGGAGAUAAAAACGAAGCAAGAGGCUGGGUAGGCAGCAUUGCACCCAUGAACUUGGAGCUGUGGAACCUGUAUACAGUCAGACCAGCCAGAAUUCCAGCAUCAAUGGGGGACUGGCUCCUGAGGACCGUGGCCCUAGCUGCAGAGAUACUGGCAAUUGAAGGCUGCCUGAGCAGAGUCUCUCUUCUUUGGACAUUUGAUGCUGAUCCAACAUCCUGCCAGUUCUCUCUGCAGUUCUCCCUGGAGAGUAAGUAUGUGCAGUCUGUCCUGACAAAGACUGGGCCCCAAGUUGUAAGAAAAGGUUCACUUCCUGCCAAGUAAAAUAACCUUUCCCACAAAUUGAGCAACAUAAUAAAAAAGGAGAGAGAGAGAUUGCAGCCUAGAAGAGAACGCUAGGAAGAGAGGCUGGUUUCUGCAGUUAGAGGUGCUGUAGGGUCAAAAUUAAUGCUGUAUCUUAGACCAUCCUUUCAGUCUACAAUACUGCUCCUAAUUGUUAGUAUGAGCAAAAGGAAAUAAUCAGUACUGUUUUAAUAUCCAAAAGAGAAGGUUUACAGGGGUGAUGAUAGAAUACUGAAGCAAAUAUUUUAUAGUGAAGCUACCCAUUGUUUUUAUUUGUUGGUUGAUUUGUUAUAAAAUUUCAUUUCUGUAUGUGGGAGCUAAAAGCAUCCAAGUUGAAGUGAUAUCUUCAAGGCUUUUUUUCCCCUCCUGUUUUUAAUAAUUUUUCACUUUGUCUUAGUUUGAUUACUUGAACAUUGUUAAGUCAUUCUUAUUAAAAUACUAUUGGCACUGGGUGUAUCUUAGUUGGAGAGUGCUUACCUAAUAUCCACAAGACCUUGGGGGUUUAUACCUGCAUAAACAAGGAGCGGUGGCGAACACCUAAAAUCCCAGCACUCAGGAGGUAGAUGCAGGAGGAUCAAAGGUUCAAGGUUAUCCUCUGCCACAUUGGGAGUUCAGGACCAAUCUGGGAUAUAUGAGACUUUCUUUAAAAAAAAGAAAAAGUACAUCAAUAGUGUACAUGAGGCUCUGAGGCCCUGUUUUCAACACAGAUGCACACACACAUGUACACGCACACACUCAUUAUGACACUGAGAAAGGCAAUGGCUUCUACUGAAAAUAAAUUAUCUUCCAACAAUACAGUUUUUACUGCUGUGAAUGAAUUUUAUUUAUUGUCCAGCCAGCUAUGCUCUGGCAACCUUACCAUUAACUCCAGCAACCUAGAAUGUAGGAUUAUGUUAUGAGGAAGAGAGGGCAAAUUAACAAGAUGGGACUGAAUGAAAAGCUUAAAUAUUAUUUAAAUAGUCAAAACGUUUCCUGAGACUGUAAC